rnacentral:rRNA from 1 species
CGGGGUGCAGCAGGCGCGAAAACUUUACAAUGCCGGCAACGGCGAUAAGGGAACCUCGAGUGCCAGGUUACAAAUCUGGCUGUUGUGAUGCCUAAAAAGCAUUGCAUAGCAAGGGCCGGGCAAGACCGGUGCCAGCCGCCGCGGUAACACCGGCGGCUCGAGUGGUAACCGUUAUUAUUGGGUCUAAAGGGUCUGUAGCCGGCCGGGUAAGUCUCUUGGGAAAUCUGGCAGCUUAACUGUCAGGCUUUCAGGAGAUACUGCCUGGCUCGAGGCCGGGAGAGGUGAGAGGUACUUCAGGGGUAGGGGUGAAAUCUUGUAAUCCUUGAAGGACCACCAGUGGCGAAGGCGUCUCACCAGAACGGACCUGACGGCAAGGGACGAAAGCUAGGGGCACGAACCGGAUUAGAUACCCGGGUAGUCCUAGCCGUAAACGAUACUCGCUAGGUGUCGGCCACGGUGCGACCGUGGUCGGUGCCGUAGGGAAGCCGUGAAGCGAGCCACCUGGGAAGUACGGCUGCAAGGCUGAAACUUAAAGGAAUUGGGCGGGGGAGCAC